GUGCUCGUUUCAGCAGCACAUACACUAAAAUUGGAACGAUACAGAGAAGAUUAGCAUGGCCCCUGAGGGGGGAUAAACAGAAUAUAUAAAGAACUCUUACAACUUAAU